CCAUAUUACCAUAACAGUAUAUACCUGAAGGUGAGUUAAAAGCAGUUACAGUAGACUGAUAUAAAACAAAAACGUUCUAAAUGAGCUGGGUAAGAGCAAGACACAUCUAAUUAAAUGUUCAUUCACAACGUGAAUGUCAGAAUAACCAUACCACAUGUGCCAAAAGUAAUUUUCUAGGUUUUUCCACCAAAACAUUAGAUAGAUAAUUAAUCAAAUCCAAC
rnacentral:lncRNA from 1 species